GAGCCAUUCACAUUGAACCAAGUAAAAUUUUUCCCCACUAAGGGGAUGUCAAUCAGAAGAUUGUCAUCAAUAAAGGUAUUGAACCCCUUGAUCUCUCUUGAGUGAUCGUUUGAGAUGGUUCUCGUGCCCGCACUUCCUUUCCGUUCGCUACGACUUCUUGUGGCAUUAAAAUCACCACAUAAGCACCACACCUUAAUUUGUGAUGUUGCUUUGAUAUUAGAUACCUCCGCC
rnacentral:lncRNA from 1 species